CCCCUCUUUCAGUUUGUACGCAGUCCUCCUUGUCCUACCACAACAAGGACAGAUGCAGAGUCUCUCCAGCUCCCCUGUUGGCCCUUUCAGAUGCUGGGUGGUUGCCAUGAGGUCUCCACAAAAUCAUCUCCAGGCUGAACAGCCCCAGCUUGCUCAGCAUUCCUAGGGGAGAUGCUAUAGUCUGAAUUUGCUUCAAAACUUUCAUGUCCUCCUUACGCUGGGGACACCAUAAGUGUGCACAGUACUCCAGGUGGCUCCCACAGAGCAGAGUAGAGGGGGAAAAUCACCUCCCCAACCCUGCUGGCCACAUUGCUUUUGAUGCAGCCCAGGACUCCACUGGUUUUCUGGACUAGGAGUGCACACUGCUGGCUCAUGUUGAGUUUUUCAUCAGCCAUCACACCUUUCUUCCCAGUGUGGCUCUCAGUCACUUCUCCACUCAACAUGUAGGUGUCUGGGAUUGUCGCAAUCCAGGCGUAGGGCCUCGCACUUUGCUUUGUUGAUCUCCAUGAUAUUUACACUGGCCCACCUCUCAAGUGUGUCAGGGUCCCUCUGGAGGACAUCCCUCCAGGGUGUCAAAUUAUUGCAGUGUUGUGGUUUGUGACUCAGGCCCACUCUAUUUUGUGACUUGUUACCUCUGCAGAUAUGAAGGCCAUGGUGAGGUGGGUGCUGUGAGCCCACCCGCUCCUGAUGAACCCUGGCUUGGUUUCUCACAGAGCUUUUUACCAGGCAGUGUGUCUUGCCCUAGCUCCAGAAAUAUGAGCAGUAAUCAUAAAGCCUGGAAAGGAUGUGCUGACUGAAGUCUUUAUGAGAUUUUUAAUGAGGAUUAGGAAAUCUGAGAUAGCAAAAUCUACUGUAUACAAAGAGGUUGUUGUGCAUGAAUCUUCAGACAAGUUUUAGAUCAGAAUCCUUUGUCAGCAACAGUAGGAUCCAUUUCAGGAUCUCAUUCUUGAGAACCAGUUUACUCUUCUGGAUGGAAAGUGUUUAAAGGAUCUGCCUCAGAGUUUUCCCUCCCACUUCUAUAAAGCUGAAAGAGGUCAUUCUCAAACAGUCCACAUUUGGAUAGAGCAUACAUGCUUUUCUGUCUGGUUCUUGCACCGGCUAAACAACAUAAAAAAACAUCAUCUUCAAAUGA